rnacentral:lncRNA from 1 species
ACCUUCCAAACACUCAAAGAGAUCAAGGUGAGGGCGCUAUUGGCAAAAAAUAGGCAAAGGAAAAGAUGGCUGUCUCCUUAAAACCAUUCUAUUUACUGUAAAAGUUUAAAAAUUAAACUAUACUGUACUGAAAUAUUAAAUGGAGGAACUUCAUUCCUAUCAGAUAUAGACCCCUGGAGGCAGGUACACAUUGUGCAGUAACCUGGACCUUACCAUUCAAUCUAUGGCUUGGCUCUUUACAUAGUAAAUAUUCCUUUUUAUAA